AUUGGAAAUGCCUCAUUGAGUAUCCAUGUGGUUUUGCUUUGCCUAUGGGUCUAUUUCUUAGGUCUGUGAUAAAGUAUUACAAGACAGCA
rnacentral:snoRNA from 1 species